UAAGCGACUAAGCGUACACGGUGGAUGCCCUGGCAGUCAGAGGCGAUGAAGGACGUGCUAAUCUGCGAUAAGCGUCGGUAAGGUGAUAUGAACCGUUAUAACCGGCGAUUUCCGAAUGGGGAAACCCAGUGUGUUCCGACACACUAUCAUUAACUGAAUCCAUAGGUUAAUGAGGCGAACCGGGGGAACUGAAACAUCUAAGUACCCCGAGGAAAAGAAAUCAACCGAGAUUCCCCCAGUAGCGGCGAGCGAACGGGGAGCAGCCCAGAGCCUGAAUCAGUGUGUGUGUUAGUGGAAGCGUCUGGAAAGGCGCGCGAUACAGGGUGACAGCCCCGUACACAAAAAUGCACAUGCUGUGAGCUCGAUGAGUAGGGCGGGACACGUGGUAUCCUGUCUGAAUAUGGGGGGACCAUCCUCCAAGGCUAAAUACUCCUGACUGACCGAUAGUGAACCAGUACCGUGAGGGAAAGGCGAAAAGAACCCCGGCGAGGGGAGUGAAAAAGAACCUGAAACCGUGUACGUACAAGCAGUGGGAGCACAGAGCAAUCUGUGUGACUGCGUACCUUUUGUAUAAUGGGUCAGCGACUUAUAUUCUGUAGCAAGGUUAACCGAAUAGGGGAGCCGAAGGGAAACCGAGUCUUAACUGGGCGUUAAGUUGCAGGGUAUAGACCCGAAACCCGGUGAUCUAGCCAUGGGCAGGUUGAAGGUUGGGUAACACUAACUGGAGGACCGAACCGACUAAUGUUGAAAAAUUAGCGGAUGACUUGUGGCUGGGGGUGAAAGGCCAAUCAAACCGGGAGAUAGCUGGUUCUCCCCGAAAGCUAUUUAGGUAGCGCCUCGUGAAUUCAUCUCCGGGGGUAGAGCACUGUUUCGGCAAGGGGGUCAUCCCGACUUACCAACCCGAUGCAAACUGCGAAUACCGGAGAAUGUUAUCACGGGAGACACACGGCGGGUGCUAACGUCCGUCGUGAAGAGGGAAACAACCCAGACCGCCAGCUAAGGUCCCAAAGUCAUGGUUAAGUGGGAAACGAUGUGGGAAGGCCCAGACAGCCAGGAUGUUGGCUUAGAAGCAGCCAUCAUUUAAAGAAAGCGUAAUAGCUCACUGGUCGAGUCGGUCUGCGCGGAAGAUGUAACGGGGCUAAACCAUGCACCGAAGCUGCGGCAGCGACGCUUAUGCGUUGUUGGGUAGGGGAGCGUUCUGUAAGCCUGCGAAGGUGUGCUGUGAGGCAUGCUGGAGGUAUCAGAAGUGCGAAUGCUGACAUAAGUAACGAUAAAGCGGGUGAAAAGCCCGCUCGCCGGAAGACCAAGGGUUCCUGUCCAACGUUAAUCGGGGCAGGGUGAGUCGACCCCUAAGGCGAGGCCGAAAGGCGUAGUCGAUGGGAAACAGGUUAAUAUUCCUGUACUUGGUGUUACUGCGAAGGGGGGACGGAGAAGGCUAUGUUGGCCGGGCGACGGUUGUCCCGGUUUAAGCGUGUAGGCUGGUUUUCCAGGCAAAUCCGGAAAAUCAAGGCUGAGGCGUGAUGACGAGGCACUACGGUGCUGAAGCAACAAAUGCCCUGCUUCCAGGAAAAGCCUCUAAGCAUCAGGUAACAUCAAAUCGUACCCCAAACCGACACAGGUGGUCAGGUAGAGAAUACCAAGGCGCUUGAGAGAACUCGGGUGAAGGAACUAGGCAAAAUGGUGCCGUAACUUCGGGAGAAGGCACGCUGAUAUGUAGGUGAAGUCCCUCGCGGAUGGAGCUGAAAUCAGUCGAAGAUACCAGCUGGCUGCAACUGUUUAUUAAAAACACAGCACUGUGCAAACACGAAAGUGGACGUAUACGGUGUGACGCCUGCCCGGUGCCGGAAGGUUAAUUGAUGGGGUUAGCGCAAGCGAAGCUCUUGAUCGAAGCCCCGGUAAACGGCGGCCGUAACUAUAACGGUCCUAAGGUAGCGAAAUUCCUUGUCGGGUAAGUUCCGACCUGCACGAAUGGCGUAAUGAUGGCCAGGCUGUCUCCACCCGAGACUCAGUGAAAUUGAACUCGCUGUGAAGAUGCAGUGUACCCGCGGCAAGACGGAAAGACCCCGUGAACCUUUACUAUAGCUUGACACUGAACAUUGAGCCUUGAUGUGUAGGAUAGGUGGGAGGCUUUGAAGUGUGGACGCCAGUCUGCAUGGAGCCGACCUUGAAAUACCACCCUUUAAUGUUUGAUGUUCUAACGUGGACCCGUAAUCCGGGUUGCGGACAGUGUCUGGUGGGUAGUUUGACUGGGGCGGUCUCCUCCUAAAGAGUAACGGAGGAGCACGAAGGUUGGCUAAUCCUGGUCGGACAUCAGGAGGUUAGUGCAAUGGCAUAAGCCAGCUUGACUGCGAGCGUGACGGCGCGAGCAGGUGCGAAAGCAGGUCAUAGUGAUCCGGUGGUUCUGAAUGGAAGGGCCAUCGCUCAACGGAUAAAAGGUACUCCGGGGAUAACAGGCUGAUACCGCCCAAGAGUUCAUAUCGACGGCGGUGUUUGGCACCUCGAUGUCGGCUCAUCACAUCCUGGGGCUGAAGUAGGUCCCAAGGGUAUGGCUGUUCGCCAUUUAAAGUGGUACGCGAGCUGGGUUUAGAACGUCGUGAGACAGUUCGGUCCCUAUCUGCCGUGGGCGCUGGAGAAUUGAGGGGGGCUGUUCCUAGUACGAGAGGACCGGAGUGGACGCAUCACUGGUGUUCGGGUUGUCAUGCCAAUGGCACUGCCCGGUAGCUAAAUGCGGAAGAGAUAAGUGCUGAAAGCAUCUAAGCACGAAACUUGCCCCGAGAUGAGUUCUCCCUGACUCCUUGAGAGUCCUGAAGGAACGUUGAAGACGACGACGUUGAUAGGCCGGGUGUGUAAGCGCAGCGAUGCGUUGAGCUAACCGGUACUAAUGAACCGUGAGGCUUAACCU
rnacentral:rRNA from 1 species